rnacentral:misc_RNA from 1 species
UAAACCCCACAACUGAUU